AGAGUUUGAUCCUGGCUCAGGAUGAACGCUAGCGGGAGGCCUAACACAUGCAAGCCGAGCGGUAGGUUUCCUUCGGGAAACUGAGAGCGGCGCACGGGUGCGGAACACGUGUGCAACCUGCCUUUAUCAGGGGGAUAGCCUUUCGAAAGGAAGAUUAAUACCCCAUAAUAUAUCAGAUGGCAUCAUUUGAUAUUGAAAACUACGGUGGAUAAAGAUGGGCACGCGCAGGAUUAGAUAGUUGGUAGGGUAACGGCCUACCAAGUCAACGAUCCUUAGGGGGCCUGAGAGGGUGAUCCCCCACACUGGUACUGAGACACGGACCAGACUCCUACGGGAGGCAGCAGUGAGGAAUAUUGGACAAUGGGUGAGAGCCUGAUCCAGCCAUCCCGCGUGAAGGACGACGGCCCUAUGGGUUGUAAACUUCUUUUGUAUAGGGAUAAACCUACUCUCGUGAGAGUAGCUGAAGGUACUAUACGAAUAAGCACCGGCUAACUCCGUGCCAGCAGCCGCGGUAAUACGGAGGGUGCAAGCGUUAUCCGGAUUUAUUGGGUUUAAAGGGUCCGUAGGCUGAUUUGUAAGUCAGUGGUGAAAUCUCACAGCUCAACUGUGAAACUGCCAUUGAUACUGCAAGUCUUGAGUGUUGUUGAAGUAGCUGGAAUAAGUAGUGUAGCGGUGAAAUGCAUAGAUAUUACUUAGAACACCAAUUGCGAAGGCAGGUUACUAAGCAACAACUGACGCU
rnacentral:rRNA from 1 species